GAUUAACGCUAGCGGCAGGCCUAAUACAUGCAAGUUGUACGGGAUUAUUGGUAGCAAUACUGAUAUGAGAGUAGCGCACGGGUGCGUAACACGUAUGCAACCUACCUUUAACUGGGGAAUAGCUCACCGAAAGGUGAAUUAACACCGCAUAAAAUCACAGAAGGACAUCCUUUAAUGAUUAAAUCUCCGGAGGUUAAAGAUGGGCAUGCGUCCGAUUAGCUAGUUGGCGGGGUAAUAGCCCACCAAGGCAACGAUCGGUAGGGGUCUGAGAGGAUGAU
rnacentral:rRNA from 1 species